rnacentral:lncRNA from 1 species
UGAUUUGAUUGGUUUUGUAUUGAAUUUCUAUCUUAAGCAACAUGGCCGUGUCUUUGCAGGACCCGACUGAGUACAGGAGAAAGGUGCGCCAACAAGCCAAGCAAUAUCCACCUGCGCUCUGAUGCAAUGGUUGCUUCACCAUGUCAGCAACUUAUUAGCUAGAUUCCAUCAUAUAUGUCCAAACCUCCUUUAAGUAACAGAGUGAUUUAGUGUUGGUACUAGACUACGAGUUAAUUGUCAAGUAGCUACGCUUCCCAUUUCUGCACCAGAGGUUUAGCAACAUGACAACUUUUGGAUAUAAAACCUAUAUCGAUUGCCCAUUAAGUUUGUUAUUUAUACCUAUGGCGAAGCAGCAUGAUAUACUGGAAAUUGGCUGUAUGGGAAACCAUGACUGAUACUUCUGAAUUUGGUUAAAGCAAGUGUAAGCUUUUGAACAACUUUAUCGGAUGCUAUGUUAUAUAUGAGAGCGUGUAUGAUCUGUAUCACAUACUCGUUUUUUCACCUUUUUAUGUGUUUCAAGCAUGCAAUAACACUGAAUAAUACUAUUGGAGUUAGACGUCAGUGUAGGUUCAUGCGAAUCUAGGGAAGUAAAUAGACCGAAUAGAGUGGUUUUCGGAGAUGGUUUUUGUCCUUAGGAUGGCCAUCAGUGAAGAAUGCUGCAGCCGCUGCUGAAGCAUUGUUUUGAGUAAGAUGGCCUCCAAUAUUUUAUGCAUUUCAUGACAUAGAUUCACAAUUGUUUAAAGCUAUCACGCUGUAUUUAUUGAACUGUACUGCAGGACUCUUUAAUUCUUCUGAGCACAUUUUGACACAAAUGUGUUGUCCAAUAUUCAUACAAGAUUAAGAUAAGAUGGCCUGGAAUAAAUUUUAUUUUGUAGUGACUGCAAGUGUGUGUGAAGCAUAACUGGGUCAUUGAUAUUUGUUAAAAAGGUAUGCAGAGGACCUUACUUUCUUUUCUCCAGUGACUGCCAUUGCGCCGAAGAGUGAUUCACCUUGAUCCCCCCUGUUCUGUUGCGUUUUUGUACGCUCUAAUGUCCUCAUUCGUAUCUACCUAUCAAUGGUGAUUCUUCAUUUGCCCACACUUUCCGAGUCUAGUUGCCAACCGGCAUUCCAAAUUUAAGCACCUGAGUUAUCAGCUUCUCAUUGUAAAAUUGCUCUGCAAAAACUGGCCAUGUGACAAUGUGUACACAACACAUAUGCAGAGUUCCAGCCGCAGGGAGUAAAAAACUCUCCCAAUCCCAACUGUUGGAUUGUCCAUUAUUUGCACCUGCGGGGGCAAUACCUUUAUAACGAAUCCUUCUGCCACUUUUCUUCAAUUCAUCCUCGUAUUCUUCUGGCAGCCACCAGUCUUCCUGCUGAUACAGGUUGUUGUUAUCUUCUGUCAGAUUUCAGGAUUUUUCCUACAUCCCAAUUGAAAGACUGCCUUGAAUCUUCAAGUGCACUAGCAAUUUCUGAUAUUUGACUCUUGCUGAAUCUGAUGAGGCUUCCAAAACAAAUGCAGAGAACGGACUUUGGUUUCUUAGAAUCCAGCCAAUGCAGGCAACUGUGUUUACACAUUGAAGCCUUGUCACCUCUUUCUAGCCUAUCAUCUGCAUUUCUAUUGAACAGAGAUACGGGACCCGAGCCAUGCUUUUAUUCCAGUAACUUUUCUGAAAUGAUCAACACAGGCUAGCUCUUCCUUUCAGCCUUCUUCAGUUCAUCAAACAAAGAAGAGAGAACUUCGUUGUCAGGGACAAGUGAUUCUGUCUCAGAUGCGACAUUGCCGUGAGGUUGACAAUAAUCAAUGCUGUUUGCAACACCAAGAUUGAAGAAUCCACUGCCACUAAAGGCAAGCCUUGGUAUGCCAAGCUCAAUGGCAACAUCAACAGUCCAUGGAAACUGACAAUCAGAGGCAGUGCAAGAUCGUUUUAACCUGUGGUUGCAGCAACUCUAUUCCAUGAAAUAAUUUUAAAGCCAUUUUCGGGGCCCCUGUGGAGGAUAAAUGUUCACAGCCUUCAGGCAAACCAGCUUUUUUAGCACGGCAAUCUGUAUGAUAUGAUCAGCAGGGAUGUUCACACUUCACAGUAUAAACCAUAUUUUCGCUCCUUUAACUUACAAAUGUUUCAUAAUAUAAUUUAAAAUUUCUCAAUAUCUACCUUCUAAUUUUGCAAAAAAAUCCAACUUUUAAUCCCAAUUCUAGAUACCUGAGGCUAUUUUAUGCAAAUAAGGUAUUUUGGUGCACCACAGUUUAUUAUCUUAAAAUAGAAGAAAUAGAGACAAUAAGAUAAUGAGAAAAAAAUAUAUUUGGUUGAAUAAACUUAGAUAGAAAUAUAAAAUAAAUCUUUAGAAGGGAUUUAUGUAAUUUUAAAAUAAAAAAUACAAAAAAAAACAUGUCUAAUCUAUCUCAAUUAUUUUCAUCUUUUCUAUCAUUUUUAGCGAUUAAACAGUCUCCCGAGAAAGUAAUGAAUGUUGCCAUGAAGAUUCCACAUCAGAAGAAUCUCUGUUUUAAAAAAUAAUAAUAAUAAGGGAUAAUUAUAAAAAUUCUCUUAUAAUUUUAUCUGAAUUUUACUUUUUCUCUAUAUUUUCAUAAAUUAUAUUUUUUAUCCUAUAGUUUAUAUGUUUAGUAACAAUUUACAUCUUUAACAAUGGACUUGUUUAAAAAAGUUUAUAUGAUUCAGUGUAAUUUAUAAAAAUAUAAAAAACAAGUAAAAUUUAAAUAAAAAGUUUUUGUAAUUAUUCUUAAUAAUAAUUAAUGUCCAAAACUCGCCUGACAAAUUGUGGGCUUUUCUAAAUUUGGUAGAGAGGCCCACUGCUGAUCAAUCGUCCCAAAAGUCAAAACCAAUUUCAUUUUAUUUGCAAGCUAUGAAUGAAGAGUCGGUCAUUUGGUCUCUUCCAAGUCCGAGUAAAAAACACUCCAAAUCAUCCAUCAUCCAGAAAACAAGGUAGUCCCUGCAGAGACAUAGAGCGUGAGAGAUCAUGUCAGGAGGAGGCAUAGCUCGUGGUCGUCUUGCUGAAGAGAGAAAGUCAUGGCGUAAGAAUCAUCCCCACGUAAGUUCUCUUUUCUUCCAUUUUUGCCCCUCUUUAGCAUCUAUUUAUCCAUCUAUCUUGUCUUCAAUUGGGUCUUAUUUUUGUGAAUUUUCGGUUUAGGGUUUUGUGGCUAAGCCUGAUAAUGCACAAGAUGGUUCUCUUGAUUUGAUGGUGUGGAAGUGCAUCAUACCUGGCAAACCCGGGGUUUGUAAUUUUUUCUAUCUCUCUCUGUGGCUUUUUUUUUUUAAUUAUUAUUAUAGAUUUACACGGUUUUAUUUCUGAUUUUCAUCAACUGAUAUGAUUUAUUUUAUUUUUUACUGUAAUUAGUCUUGAUUAGCGAAAGGGUAGUUGAGAUUGGUGGGAUAAUAUAGGAUUAAUGACCGUGGAUAAUAAAAAAAGUUGAAGUCAACGUAUUAUUUGGUAGGUGGAAGGCUUAUGUGUUAGGAAAUUGGUGUCAUAGUGUGAAAUUUUGUGAACAUUUGUUUUUGUUGCUGCCCGAAUAAAUAAUCUCUUUAGGAUGUCUUUGGGUUUGAAAGAAGUGUUUUCUUGCUCUGGUUCUAUAGGAGUAUCUCACUCGAUUUUUGUUUUGUUUUUGGUUUACGGGAAGGGGUUUCUUCAUAUGUGAUGGGAGUGGCAAUGCCUUGAUGGUCCUUUUUGUAUUCCUUCUCAUUCCUUUCAAGGCCCCAAGCCGCCAAACUUCGAGCUUAGAAAUGCCAUUCAUGUCAGCGUCCCUUUUGGUAAUGGACAGUUCUAUGCAGCAUAAGGCCACUGUACUUUUUAGCAUUUACUACAAGUUUGAAAAAUGAAUCUUAAUAUGCCACAUUAGAAGUUGAUCCUUUUAAAAUAUUUUCGAGAUCCUCAGAGAUUGAGAUGUUGUAUAGGAUUGGAAAAUAUGUAAGGACCUAAGAAGUGGGAGAUGUUUUGAUGUGAUAGCUCUUUUAUUGUCAAUUGGCAUUGUUAUUCUUUAUGAGAGGACCUGAGUCGAUUUUUCUUCUUUAACCCUUUUAAGUUGCAUUUGGUGCUCAUUUGAUUUAUCUGCAGUUUGAUAUGUAUCAUUGUUGACCUCUUUACAUUAUCUUUCCACCCCCUCCUACAAAGAAAGAGAGAGCCGUUUCUAGUUUCUAGGUUAUCAGGAAAUGCACAUUCAUAAAAGUCAGCAUUACAUGCUGUUUGCUCAACGAUCUCAUCUGAAUGUUCAUGUCCUUAAUGUGCACAGACAGAUUGGGAGGGUGGCUUCUUCCCCCUCUCGCUUCAUUUCAGUGAGGACUACCCAAGCAAACCUCCAAAGUGCAAGUUCCCCCAAGGUUUCUUCCACCCUAAUGUCUACCCUUCAGGAACUGUGUGCUUAUCUAUUCUCAAUGAGGACUAUGUAAGUAGUUGGCUCACUCUUUCAUAUUUCACAUAUUGCAAAACGCCCGGUUUCUAAAACUAUUUUUUCUAGGGCUGGAGACCAGCCAUUACUGUGAAGCAAAUUUUAGUUGGCAUUCAGGAUUUGCUUGAUCAACCAAAUCCUUCUGAUCCUGCGCAAACUGAUGGCUAUCAGCUUUUUGUCCAGGUUUUUUAUUUCAACAUCUCAAUCAUCAGCUUUGAUUUGAUUGGUUUCGUAUUGAAUUUCUAUCUUAAGCAACAUGGCUGUGACUCUGCAGGACCCGACUGAGUACAGGAGAAGGGUGCGCCAACAAGCCAAGCAAUAUCCACCUGCGCUCUGAUGCAAUGGCUGCUUCACCAUGUCUGCAACAUAUUAGUUAGAUUCCGUCAUAUAUGUCCAAACCUCGUUUAAGUAACAGAGUGAUUUAGUGUUGCUACUUGACUGCUAGUUAAUUGUCAAUUGCAGCUAUGCUUCCCAUUUCUGUACCGGAGGGUGCUUUUUUAGUCAUGCUUUGCCACAUGUUCCUGCAUUGCAAGUUAGCAACAUGACA